rnacentral:rRNA from 1 species
UUAAAUUGAAGAGUUUGAUCAUGGCUCAGAUUGAACGCUGGCGGCAGGCCUAACACAUGCAAGUAGAACGGUAACAGGAAGAAGCUUGCUUCUUUGCUGACGAGUGGCGGACGGGUGAGUAAUGUCUGGGAAACU